UCUAUUUGGGCAUACGUAUUUGCAAUUUUGCACGUUUGCACAAGACAAUAAAAAGGUACUUCCCGGAAAUGCAAAAAAACCUAAACAAAAAAACCACGUGUUUAUUGUUGUCGUUUGAAUUUAAACUUUUAUUGGUUGGGUGUUUGAAUUUCUUUACUCUCAUUGGUUCUGGGCAUUUUGGGAGUCUCUGUUCUCGCGAGGAUCACCAUUUUGCAUUUCUUCCAACACAACUGUGAUCGAUGGCGGCGAGAAGUAUUUCACCGCAGGACACGAUUCGAAUGGUGUUAGAAAAUCCUGAUUCCGACGACGACGACCUUUGUUCGGACGCUUCUUUGGAGAGCCCAGAAGACAUUGAACAAAUUCUUCCGGACUUUCGAUGCCGGAGGAGGACGGCUUUGAUGACGAGGAUUAGGAAAUAGUUGACAACAUAACGAGAUGAAAGCGGGGAGCAGAAGGCAGGGGCACGGACAUGACCACGUUGAGGCGCAUGACGAAAAUGACGGCGAUCGAGGCCUGAGGCACAUACUCCUGCCGCCGGCGCGCACUCAGGUGGCCAAUGUGUGUUUUUUCACAUGCCGGACAUUUCGUCAUGCAGCGCGUUUGUGCUGUUCACGGAGAUCUACCCUCGUUUGUGCUGUUCACGGAGAUCUACCCUGAGUGGAACGUGAAGAAAAGCUACAAGCGCCGACUAUUUCUUGAGGAACUUGGCAUGGCUCUAAUUCGGCCAGAAGUCCUAAAACGGGAACCACCGCCUUCUGCCGAAGGCUUGGUUGAGCAGCGAGCUGGACCCCCGUCCAAGCGCAAACAAUGUGGCCUUUGCACAAAGCCACUUCGGGCUUCGAACAUAAUAAUAAAUAAUAAUACAUUUUAUUUAUAACGCACUUUACAUUUGAACAACAAAUCUCAAAGUGCACAUCAUGAAUUGUGUAUGUUGUUAUUAUGUUAACUGUUAUAUUGUAUGUAUGUUUUGUAAAAUUGUUAACAUAAAUUCUAUCAUCAAAUCA